CACGUAGGGCGCAAGCGUUGUCCGGAAUUAUUGGGCGUAAAGAGCUCGUAGGCGGUGUGUCGCGUCGGCCGUGAAAACCUGUGGCUUAACCAUGGGCUUGCGGUCGAUACGGGCAUCACUGGAGUUCGGCAGGGGAGACUGGAAUUCCUGGUGUAGCGGUGAAAUGCGCAGAUAUCAGGAGGAACACCGGUGGCGAAGGCGGGUCUCUGGGCCGAUACUGACGCUGAGGAGCGAAAGCGUGGGGAGCGAACAGG
rnacentral:rRNA from 1 species